GGCCCUGCGGUGUUUACACGUCAAAUUGCAAACUUGAAGUCGUAGAUUAUAAGUCUUCCGGGGCUU
rnacentral:tRNA from 1 species